GUGGAAGCAGAGUGAAUGGGGGACCAUUAACUGACGGACCAGACAGCUGCUUUACUAUCUGGCGCCAGUAUGUGAUUCAUACUCGACUUGCAGUCCAUUCAACAUGAACACCGCUGAAAAAUUAUUAAACAUAACACAAAGGGGAAAUAAGAAGAAGCUUGUACUUGUACUAAAAUGGCUUCAAAAACUGAAAUUACUCUCAAAAAAGAAGAGAUGCUCUCUGUGUGAAAGAAAAAUGAAAAUGAGAAAAGGUGGCAACACAAGAGAUGGAUAUCGCUGGGUGUGUCGAAGACAUAAUAGAUUCAUGUCCAAAUCCAUAAGAGAUGGGUCUAUUUUCUCAGGCUCUCGCUCCUCCUUGACUUCUUGGAUGAUGUUCAUGCAUAGGUUUGCACAAGGGCUAAGACUGAGGCAAGUGGACUUAAUUGAAGAGGGAGUCUGUGGAAGCAGCCGCACUUUGUCCAAGAUGUCCAAGACACUAAGGAGGGUGUGUGUGCAAGCAGUUAAGCACCUGAAGAGGAGGGGGAAAAUGAGAA